UACGAAGGGGGCUAGCGUUGCUCGGAAUUACUGGGCGUAAAGGGAGCGUAGGCGGAUGUUUAAGUUGGGGGUGAAAGCCCAGGGCUCAACUGGGGAGGGUCACGCGAUACUGAUCGACUCGAAGGCAGGAGAGGGUAGUGGAAUUCCCGGUGUAGUGGUGAAAUGCGUAGAUAUCGGGAGGAACACCAGUGGCGAAGGCGGCUUCCUGGCCUGUUCUUGACGCUGAGGCGGCGAAAGCUAGGGGAGCAAACGGG
rnacentral:rRNA from 1 species